rnacentral:misc_RNA from 1 species
AUUGGAAACAAAUUCAUUGUUGUUGCUGCCUGACGCAACUCUGUUGUACCUGAAAUAUGGAUACAAUCACCAACUAAGCAUCAGAUCUAAUAAGUUUCUGGGUUUGAAGCUUUUAGCAGUAUUCUCCAAAUGGGGGAGAUUAUUGUCCCCAAAUAGGAAACACUGUAGUAGCUAUUUAUGGCGAGUUUUUGAGAGAAAAAGGGCAAUCUUAGAAUACUGAAUUGAACCAUUAGGCAGGAAUUAGUCAAUUACAAUUGAGAGUAUUUUGGAUCUAAACAAUAAGGCACAAAAAUGAAG